AUGUCGACGUCGUCGUUGAGUCCAAUCUGGGUCAGCAAUAGGAAAUCCAGUCCAGGUCAGAGAAGGAGAAAUCUGCAAAACAAAAUCCAGUCCAGGUCAUGCACAGAGCCAAAGCGUAGAAGGCAGCACAGCAAGUUCACAGAAGUCUUCCCAAGGCAAGUCUUCCCAAACAGCUCACAUGAACACACAAACACCCAACAACACUUUGCUGACUCCAAAAGUGAUACAUUUCCCAAACCCACUCUUAUUCACAAUUCAUCUUCAGAACUAGAAUCAGCCAACACCCUGCUAGCAGCUGCAGCCUGUUGCCUCAAUUCCUCCUCAGAGCUAGAAUCAGACAACGCCCCACCAGACCUCCUUUCAGCUGAAGCCCCUUGCCGAUCCCUCCACCCAGUCCAUCUUUUAUCCAAACCCACAAUUCCCCAAGACCCAGCUGGAUCCUCACUGUGCCAACCCUCAAACGUGUCGCUACUUGUGGGUUCUCUAAAGAUGUCCUGGAUCUCCCGCACCUUAGUCCAGUCCAUUACCUCAUCCUCUGAACUUGUCAUCCUGAUUCUCAACCCCAUCAUCCUCCUCAAAGCCCUCAAAUAUGUCAUCAUCAGUAGGCUCCAUAAGUAUUUCCCGGAUCCGCUUCCUUUGUUGCUCCUCAUUGGAGUCUUGCUCACGAGUCGUCUUUCUUCCUCUUCUAAUGCACCUAGUAGUAUCAUUACUCAAAGACUCCAUCACAACAGUAAAUGCUUUGAGAGAUGAUGAUUGGACAUUUGGACAACAUGGCCAGUCCAGCGAAGUUGAUGGCGAAGGAUCAUCACUUCAGUGCUGGUGGUCUUUCUUCUUCUAGUACAAUGACAUUUUUUCGCCUGUCUUUCCUGAUGGAAUCGUUCCAGAAGUUGUUGUUGUUGUCAUUAUAUAAUAAUGAUAAUAAUAAUAAUAAUAAUAAUAAUAAUAAUAUAUUUUAUCAAUGUACUACUGACUUCAAGUACAUAUCUUUAAUAAUAAUAAUAAUAAUAAUAAUAAUAUGUUGUUGUUGUU
rnacentral:lncRNA from 1 species